rnacentral:lncRNA from 1 species
AACAUUGUCUAAAUAAAAAGAAACAUUGUUUGUUCACACCAUAACACAUUGCAACCAUGUUCUCAAAAGCCAAACCGUACAUCCCAUCAAAAUAUCAUAGUACAAUCCCAGUAAAUCUCAUAAAUGCGGAAACCGAAGAGUGUGUGUAUGACGUGCCGCUACCGCGCCGGCUCCUUCCCCUUCGAUGCAGAGGUACCUGAAAACAAAACUGUAAACGUAAGCACAAAGCUUAGUGAGUUCCCCCAACGUACCGCAUACCAUACAAACACAUAACAUAUAUACUGCCAGGCUAUUCUGGGGUGCCUGACUACCCGGUACGGCCAUUCUGGGGUGCCGACCUACCCAUACGGCCAUUCUGGGGUGCCGUCUUACCCGUGUCAAGCCAUUCUGGGGUGCUGACUACCCAUCGGUCCUAACAACCGAUCCUCGGGGACUAUUUCACCCCUACUACUACGAUCACAUAUAACAUAACAAGCCAGCAUGCAUACAUAUCGUCACAUACUGUCAGACGUAUCUGGGGUGUCUGACUACCCUUCGGUCCGAACAACCAAACUCUACUACUAUCACAUACAGCAUAUCAUGCUAGCAUAUAACAUGUCAGGUACUAGCGAACUUAGAUGAUAUCACAAAGACAAUCAUCUAUCAUACAACUCCUACUGGUGGGUCGGCAUUGUGGCCUUAGACCCACCGCUACUGGAAGGUAACUCACCUCAAAGUAGCUGCUGAACUGAUCGGGAACUAACUGACUGCUGCUGCUCCGGGAGUCCUCCGGCUGCAAUUUCCACGACAUACUCAAUCAAACACUGCUAACUGUCCUUUAGGUAAAAUGACCAUUUUACCCCUGGAUUAACUCUAAGCCAAAGCUGGAGUCAACUUUCAGUUGACCCGACUCGCCGAGUGGAUCACCACUCGCCGAGUCCCUAGCAAACCAAUGUCCUGGGUCCCUGGUUCUACUCGUCGAGUCGGGCUAUGACUCGACGAGUUCACCUUCUAACUGCCAUUCAACACCUUCAUCCUACUCGCCGAGUUGUAUGAACAACUCGUCGAGUUCAUCUUCAUCCGAUGAACACUUUAUGCUAAGACUCGCCGAGUUGUAUGAACAACUCGCCGAGUCUGUUCUUGAGCUAUGAAGAUUGCCUUGGACUCGCCGAGUCAGGGCAUUGACUCGCCGAGUCCUAACAUGGGUGAGUUCAGCUCCCAACUCACCGAGUCACCCCCUGUGACUCAAGGCUCAACUCGACACAUGAAGAAGGGACCAAUUCGGUGACUCGCGACCAGACUCGCCGAGUCACCUAUGCGACUCGCCGAGUCGUCGCCAUGCACUCCUUAAAUAUACCGAUUUGCUCGGUUCCAGACCAUGCCAUUCAUAGAUCUGGACUUCUAGGACACGAAUCACACGUAAAGUUUCCAACUUUACGUGUGGAUAUUCACCAAUAUGGAUUAUAAGGCUCAAAAUGUCUCAAAAUGGUAGAUCUAGGGCUAACAAGCCUCAUGAGGCCAAAAAGCUAACAGAUCUGAGCUCCUGGAGCUCAAUCUUACAUAGAUCCAAAGGCCAAACGCCUUAUUACAACAUAUAAUGAACAUGCAAACUUGGGGAAUUGACCAAGAAGGACCCAAAUGAAGUUUUAAGCAUAGAAUCAAGGGGAAAACGGGUUAUACCUCAAAGGAAAUGUUGAAAUGACACAAGGAUGGCUGAUCUCCUUCUCCUCUUCUUGAUCUACUCCUCUUACUCUUCAA